CGCCGCCUGCAGGGCCGGGAUGGAGACAGCCUGUGGGGACGGAGCUGAGGGCGCUGCUGCGGGCAGCGGGGCUGCCCGUGGGGUUGUUCUUUUGUUUGCACAAAACCUGCGCACGCUGAAGGUGGAGCGUCGCUCCGCGCUCCUGCAGCGGCGCCGGCGCCCGCGGCGGGCCCAGGUUCGCACGGUGGUGCCACAUCGGGGCUGAGGUGAAGGAAGCCUCGUCAUCGCCGGGGACGUCCUGCCCGGAUCAGCAGGUUGGAGCACCACUGGGAUGGAUCUACUGAUUUCUUGGAUGCCCUCAAGAAGUAAUACCUGCUAUGAGGCCUUCCUUACCAGGUGGUCCCUGCCACAUGGUAGAUGCUGAAGCAUGAAAAAUAAAGGCUCUCAGAGGAUGUAGUGGAGCCUGUAGAAGAAACACAUUCUUUCUCUAUACUGAAAAUUAAAAAUAGCACAGCUUUGACUUCCUAAUAACUUCCAGUGUGCAUGGCUGAGGAAGAGGUAAGAACAUGAGUUCUCUAGUGCAUUAUGACAGUGAUAUAGCACCUCAAAGGAUAAAGCAGACAUACUUAAUGGAAUGUAAAUAAAAUGCAGUCAGUCUAUGAAAUGUUGUAAACAGGAGAAACCAAACUUCAGUAUAUUUAUUUAAAGCUGCAUCUCAGUGAUUAUAUGAAUGGGCACUGACAUGUGUUUGACAGGGUAUUGAGGGACUUUACUCAGCAGACAUGAUACUCCUUGCAUUCCCAGAUCCCUAGUCCUUUAUACCUAAAGAACACAAGUUAAAAACCCCAACUAAACGUUGUAAAGUACAUCUUUGGCUGUUGGGCUGUUGAUUUCUGUUGGGUUUUUGUUCCCUGUUCUCUAUGAUCAAAGUCACUGUUCUGCCUCUUGUGCUAUAUGUCCAUCCUUCUUUUUUAUCCUAGCUGGUAAGUUGCAAUAAUUCUAGCCAAGUCUUUGUGGAGUUUUCAGCUCUUCUUGCACGAGUUUUAAUCAGGAGUGUUGCCAGACACUGUGAUUCCAUAAAGCUAAGAACUGAAAUGUAAAAAUCAGCAUUGGUAGGUAUUCUUAAAAAGGAGAGCUGAAGGCCUUCAGUCUUUAAAACAAAUGUAAUUAAUUCUGCUAAACCUAAGGAUGUGCAUAUCUGCUCUCUCCUUGUGUGUUAGAGUUUGUAUCUGUCUGACAAUGUGUAUGUACAAAUAUGGAAGAAAAUUAAAUGUGCUCAAUGCUUGGC